CCUACGGGAGGCAGCAGUAGGGAAUAUUGCUCAAUGGGGGAAACCCUGACGCAGCAACGCCGCGUGGAGGAUGAAGGUUUUCGGAUUGUAAACUCCUUUUGUUAGAGAAGAUAAUGAUGAUAUUUCACGAAUAAGCAGCGGCUAACUCCGUGCCAGCAGCCGCGGUAAUACGGAGGUGGCAAGCGUUACUCGGAUUCACUGGGCGUAAAGAGCGCGUAGGCGGGAGAGCAAGUCAGAUGUGAAAUCCUAGGGCUUAACCAUAGAACUGCAUUUGAAACUGUUUUUCUAGAGUAUGGGAGAGGUAGACGGAAUUCUUGGUGUAGGGGUAAAAUCCGUAGAGAUCAGGAGGAAUACUCGUUGCGAAGGCGAUCUGCUAGAACAUAACUGACGCUGAUGCGCGAAAGCGUGGGGAGCAAACAGGAUUAGAUACCCUAGUAGUC
rnacentral:rRNA from 1 species